UACGAAGGGUGCAAACGUUGCUCGGAAUUAUUGGGCGUAAAGCGCACGUAGGCGGCUUAGCAAGUCGGAAGUGAAAUCCCUCGGCUCAACCAAGGAAGUGCUUUCGAAACUGCUGAGCUUGAGUACGAAAGAGGAUCGCGGAAUUCCCGGUGUAGAGGUGAAAUUCGUAGAUAUCGGGAGGAACACCAGCGGCGAAGGCGGCCAUCUGGACAGAUAUUGACGCUGAGGUGCGAAAGCGUGGGGAGCAAACAGG
rnacentral:rRNA from 1 species